GAGUGGCCGCGGAGGGAGG
rnacentral:misc_RNA from 1 species